CGCCGCUGCAGCUCUCCUCCGCCGUCGCAUUCUCGAUCUCGGAGGUUUCGCGUGGCCCGGAAAAUAAGCAAGUCAUGGAAUUCAUUUGAACCUUGAAAGAGUCGCUCGCUCUCGAAGCUUUCAUGAGUAUGCUCUCUCUCUUUCGUCUUCUUUCCUCCUCGCACCUCGUACCUAAAACCCUAAAUGCUCGAGUCCACCCCAUCUUCAAGCUACUCCACCGUUCCAUGGGAGUCUCUAGCCUCAAGGUGGCCUGGCGCAAGGACCCCAUGCUAGACGCGGCCAUCGAGCGCGACAAGGGCUUCCGUCUCUGCUCUCGAGUCAUUCGUGAGGUCCUCAACGAACCUGGUCACCGGAUCCCUCUCCGAUACCUUGAGAAGCGCCGCGAGCGCCUUGACCUUCCCAUCCGCACGAGGACCUUCCUCUCACGCUAUCCCAACCUCCUCGAGCUCUACGACGAUCGCAUCAAGCCCUCUUCUCCUCCCGUACCCUUCCUCCGUCCCUCCCCACGCUUACUCUCCUUCCUCUCCCUGCAGUCCUCCAUCUCCUCUCGCCUCGAACCUCUCGUUCUUUCGAAGCUCUGCAAGCUUCUCAUGAUGUCCCGCCACCGGGUCCUCCCUGCUCACAAGCUUCUUUCUGUCAAGCGCGACUUUGGCUUCCCGGACGACUUCCUUGUUUCACUUGUUCCUCGACAUGCCCAUCUCCUCCGUCUAGUUGGAUCCAGCGGACACCACCUUGAGUUAGUGUCUUGGCCGGAAGAGCACGCUAGAUCGACCAUCGAGCUCCGCACAGAAGAAGAAUCCCGCGUCACAGGGGUUCGAAUGCGGCCUAAUUUCUCCAUCCGCCUUCCCAAGGGGUUCUACCUCCGUCGUGAAAUGCGGGAGUGGACACGGGAUUGGCUUGAAAUGCCCUACAUCUCACCUUACGAGGAUGCCUCAAAGCUGCACCCGGCCUCACCGGAGAUGGAGAAGAGGAAUGUGGCGGUGCUCCAUGAGCUUCUCUCUCUAUCAGUGACAAGGCGGAUGGCCGUGCCAGUGGUGGGUAAGUUCUGCGAGGAGUACCGCUUCUCCAAUGAAUUUGGCAAUACGUUCACCAGACACCCCGGGAUCUUCUAUGUAUCCCUGAAAGGCGGGAUCAAGACUGCAAUGCUCAGGGAAGCUUAUGAUGAGCAUGGGGAGCUGGUGGACAGGGAUCCCUACCUGGAGAUUAAGGAUAAGUUUGUGGAGAUGAUGGAGGAAGGGCACAGGGAGUGGAAGGAGAUGAUAAAGGCAAAAAGGGAGGCUGUUCAGAAGGAUUUGGAGCUGAUGGCGAGGAAGAAUGCGGAGCUGUCUGUUGGCGAAUAUGAGACUUGUAUCGUUGAUGAAGAUCAACGACAUUCUGAUCAUGCAAUGGCGGACAUUCCAACGUGAGAGCUGCAUCUGGUUAUCAUCUAAUGUUCCUAGAAGAAGCAAAAUCAGAACUGGAAGUAGGCAAAAAGCCCAAACUAUUAAACUACGAAUAAGUUUCUGAGAAAGAAAAAUGGAAAAUGAAGGAAUUGAAGAGAUAGAAAGAGAAAGUAUCAUCAAAGGAUAUUCAAUUCAUCUUUUGUCGCGCUCAGAAAAUUUAAAUUUUGAUGCCCGUUAACUAGGAACUUGUCAGCAAGAGCCAGUCUGGGAGAAGCAACUCCAAAGUCUACAGCAAUGCCUGGAGAUAAAUUGCUAUCUUCAAUCAAUGAAUUGUUGGUUUGAGGCACUACAUGCGUGACCAUGAAGUCUCUGGAGAUGAUGAACCAGCCAAGCUCUGCACAAAAUUAACUUCUG